rnacentral:rRNA from 1 species
GACGAACGCUGGCGGCGUGCCUAAUACAUGCAAGUUGAGCGCUGAAGGUUGGUACUUGUACCGUCUGGAUGAGCAGCGAACGGGUGAGUAACGCGUGGGGAAUCUGCCUUUGAUCGGGGGACAACAUUUGGAAACGAAUGCUAAUACCGCAUAAAAACUUUAAACACAAGUUUUAAGGUUGAACGAUGCAAUUUCAUCACUCAAAGAUGAUCCCGCGUUGUAUUAGUUAGUUGGUGAGGUAAAGGCUCACCAAGGCGAUGAUACAUAGCCGACCUGAGAGGGUGAGUGGCCACCUUGGGACUGAGACCCGGCCCAAAAUCCUUCGGGAGGCAGCAAGAGGGCAACUUCGGCAAUAGACGGAAGUCUGAACGAGCAACGCCGAGGGAGUGAAGAAGGUUUUCGGAUCGUAAAACUCUGUUGGUAGAGAAGAACGUGGGUGAGAGUGGAAAGCUCAUCAAGUGACGGUAACUACCCAGAAAGGAACGGCUAACUACGUG